UUGGUACUGAAAGGCUCAUAGGUUUUUGGACUGUUCGUUGUUAUUGAAGACUCUGUGUUGACUCCUCCAUCUGUGGCCGUAUGGGUCACACGUGCAGAAAGUACAAUAACUAGCUGCACUGCGCGAUACAAAUGCUCCAGGUGACAAAACCAACACACAGUCCAAGGGUUGCAGGUCUGCCAAUUUCCUUCUGGUCACACAUUCAGAGGCGGCCACUUGGAGGAGCACUCUUUUCUAUUUGAAAAUGCUUUUUUUUAUAUGUAUAUCUACUAGGGUGGAGAUCUGCCAUGCACUCCACCACUGCCCGACAGCCUCACACAGAAGUGCAUACACUGGGCCUGGCAAGACUGACAAAGCAGAGAUGGGUGGUUGACAAG